AUCCAUUUGACGAGUCCCAAGUAGGACGAAACUCGCGUUCUGGAU
rnacentral:hammerhead_ribozyme from 1 species